rnacentral:rRNA from 1 species
CGGAGGAAAAGAAACUAACAAGGAUUCCCCUAGUAACUGCGAGUGAAGCGGGAACAGCUCAAAUUUGAAAUCUGGCGGCUCCGCCGUCCGAGUUGUAAUCUGGAGAAGCGUCUUCCGUGCCGGACCGUGUACAAGUCCCUUGGAACAGGGCGUCAUAGAGGGUGAGAAUCCCGUCUUUGACACGGACUCCCGGUGCUCUGCGAUGCGCUCUCGAAGAGUCGAGUUGUUUGGGAAUGCAGCUCAAAAUGGGUGGUAAAUUCCAUCUAAAGCUAAAUAUUGGCGAGAGACCGAUAGCGAACAAGUACCGUGAGGGAAAGAUGAAAAGCACUUUGGAAAGAGAGUAAAACAGUACGUGAAAUUGUUGAAAGGGAAACGCUUGGAGUCAGUCGCGUCUUCCGGAACUCAGCCUUGCUUCUGCUCGGCGCACUUUCCGGUUUGACGGGCCAGCAUCGGCUCUGGGGGACGGACAAAGGCGUGGGGAAGGUGGCAGCUCCGGCUGUGUUAUAGCCCCUGCGUUGUACGCGCCCUCCGGGACCGAGGAAWCCGGCGCUCGCCGCCCGGGAUGCUGGCGUAAUGGCUUUAAGCGACCCGUCUUGA